GUUAAUGAAAAUAGCCAAAUAUGAGCAUCAGAAGACCUUCCAGUCUACUCAAUUCAUGAUCUCUGUAGUUCUGAGA
ensembl:snoRNA